UUACUAUGUGUCCUCUCUGCAUCCAUUGCAGCCUGGUCAUCCUGGAAGAGGGACCCUCCCAUCUGUGGGCUCUUCUCAAGGUUUCUCAUUUACCCUAGUUGGAGUUUUGAGUUUUUCGUUGCCCUCCUGGGAGAAUAUUUGUCAUUUUUCACACGUCCUGAGUGUUGUUAGUUACCUAAAUGUUGAACAGAGGCUGUGUUGUACCGAAGUCAAAUUCCUUGUUUGACACCCUCAAACAUUGCAAAUAAACACUGAGGUAUUAGGCCCACUUACACUCACUGGUGUCUCGUAACUUGCAGAGGACUGCUCAGUGGAAGGCAUCCUCCCUUGCUACAGGGAAAUGUGCAACAGCCAGCAAAGAUGCCACAUUGAGCUUUUGAAGGACCAGUCCUGCCCUGCCACCUACAAAUAUCUGCAGAUGGUCUAUAGCUGUGAACAGAAAGUAUGUCUCGAUAGUCUGGGCAUCGCCGACGGCAGCGUUGCAGACUCUCCCUUCAAAGCCUCCUCAAUGAGAGACGCCACCCAGCCGUCGGCAGCUGGAUCCUGGUGAACCUCGGCUACAAGAGAAAGGUGACGUCGAUCGUGACCCAGGGGUGUGAUAGCAACAAUACUCGCUCCUGGGACAUCAAACUUGAGAUGAGACUAAGCGUUGACAAGAGGAAGUGGACCAAAUACCCGGACGGGAAGUUCAUCGGCGGUGGGACUCAUCUGCUUGAGACGCCCGCAAUCGCUCAGUACGUCUGCAUCCUGCCGCUAGAAAAUUGUCCAGAAUUUGGCCUCCGCUUCGACAUCUUGGGAUGCGCACAAGAGGAUGAGACGACCUGUGCCAGAAAGUUCAACAGCCUCCGUUUCACCAAUUCGAUGACAUGAGUCACGCUUGACACAAUGUUUCAUGACCGCCUGUCGUCAAUGUCACGUGUGUGUCUUCUGCAGGUUCUACUGUCCGCCCGGGUGUGACAAAGAGGAACACUUUGUCUUCGGAACGAUGGUCUACUCUGCAGUACGGGAUUGCCUGACCCCACCGGUGGACUUCUUGUCUGUGACUGCAAAAACCAGCGACAUGUGGACCGAACUGAACAACCUGGUGCUUCCCGGCACGUUCGUGUGGUCGGACCGCCACAAGGUGACCUUCACCCACUGGGCCAGCGUGUCAGCCUCGGUAAACACUCUGUGGCUGUGUUACGGCAGACUGGAAGAAGAUGGAAGCCAAUGUCUUGCGCCCAAGUCAACAGCUUCAUGUGCAAAAUGCCCCACAGAGCAUUUUCCAAUUGCCUCAUCGAAGCCACAGGUGGCGUCAUAGAGUCAACCUCGCUGUGUUGGUUCCAAACAUCCCAAGACCAAUCGAAGUCCAUGGAGAAAAUUAACAAUGCAAGCAAGACAUCAAAGAUGAAAAUUUAAUGCCCUUCCUACUCUGCUCAAAAUAAAUAGUAUCACCAUUUUAACAAAAAAAACCACAAAAACAAAAGAAAUAUCACUGACUAAGGACAACAUACCUGUACAGCUGCUGCGAGAAGGCCUGGAGAGCAAACUUAUCAUAAGUGUUUUGGGCAUUUAGCUUAGCUGUUAUUAGCCAACUAGAUGUCAUGUCCAGAUGCAAUGUGAACAAGCGUGCGAUGUUCACUAAGACUCGACUCUACUUGGUUUGUCCUUUUCUCUUGACAACUUUGAAUGCCUUUUUGUAAGGUUACUGACUCAAAGAGCAAAACACAUUGUACAGAAAUUCCAGUGCUUUCAAAGAGCCCAAUUGUAAGAACGUGAGACAAGAAUAGUUUUGAAGCUGGAAUGAAAGGUUCAAAGUCAAUUAUUGCUCUCGUUCAUUGUUUUGUUUUUACUCAUGUCGUGUUGUCUUGUCCUCAUCGGCCUGUAGAAAGCGAGCCCAGACUAGACAGCUUUUUGUUUUAUUCUACAAACCGGAUUCGGUUGAAGUUGGGAAAUUGUGUAAAAUGUAAAUAAAAACAAAACACAAUUUGAAAAUCCAUUUCAACCUAUAUUCAAUUGAAUACACGACAAAGACAACAUAUUUAAUGCUCAAAUUCAUUAACUUUAUUUUUCAAAUAAUAAUUUACUUAGAAUUUCAUGGCUGCAGCACGUGCAGUAGAAGUUAGGAAAGAGCAUGUUUACCACUAUGUUACA